rnacentral:misc_RNA from 1 species
GAUGAAGAACGCAGCAAAAUGCGAUAAGUAAUGUGAAUUGCAGAAUUCAGUGAAUCAUCGAAUCUUUGAACGCACAUUGCGCCCGCCAGUAUUCUGGCGGGCAUGCCUGUUCGAGCGUCAUUUCAACCCUCAAGCCCCCGGGCUUGGUGUUGGGGAUCGGCCGCCCUCCGGCGCGCCGGCCCCGAAAUCUAGUGGCGGUCUCGCUGUAGCCUCCUCUGCGUAGUAGCACACCUCGCACCGGAACGCAGCCUGGCCACGCCGUUAAACCCCCCACUUCUGAAGGUUGACCUCGGAUCAGGUAGGAAUACCCGCUGAACUUAAGCAUAUCAAUAAGCGGAGGA